rnacentral:lncRNA from 1 species
AAUCUGGACUGGACUGCUGGGAUCUGCUGCUGAGCAAGGGACUGACUGGAUUUCAGAAGAACUAGAAGUUCUACUAGCAAAAAGAGUUCCAUUUGACAGGCCUGAAGAUGAGCUGCCAUGAAGAUAUCAAUGACAAUGGAGAUGCCACGCCAGGAGAGGAACGAGAACGGCCUGCAUGGGGACUGAAUUCUUUCUUUCUCUGCACAGGACUAAUUUUCCUUCCUUUGUUGUUACAGAAGGUGGUUUUCUUACAGAGAAGCAGCUGCUCUCACCCUUGUGGCACAGGUGGCCUUCUCCUGCCACCAAGUCCAGAGGAAUGCAUGCUACCUGGGCUUAGCAGAACGUCCUUGUCCCUUCUAUUCCUGUGGCAGUGGGCUCAGAGGACUCAGGCUGGGGAGAGAGAAACUCCCAGAAUGAAGCAUCCU